rnacentral:lncRNA from 1 species
AGGAAAAAAGAUAUUUUUUUUAUAGGGGCAAUUGCUUAUAUACCCUUGAAAAGUUUCCAACUUUCUGAUUUACCCCUCUUAGAAGGCUAAUAUUGAAAAUACAUUUUUUACGUUCCAAUCUAUUUCAAAUAUACUUCUAGAGUUAAAAUUGGUUAAUGAACUUUGUUAUCUUUAUGAAAUUACCAUUUUGUCUUUUCAAAUAUACCCUUCUGCUAUCACCGACUUUUCUUAUUUGCCCUUAAGUUAGGGGCAUAAAAAGUAUUUUGUUUUUGGUUUUUUCAAAUUUACCCUUCUACCAUCACCAACAUUUCUUAUUUGUCCUUAAGUUAAGGAUAAAAGUGGUAUUUUAAUUUUUUUUUUAACUGCAGCAGAUAUUUAACUCACGUUUAAUCCAAGUUAAUUUAAUGGGUGGUAACUGUAGGGGUAUUUUGGAAUAACGGAGGAACAUAUGAGGGGUAUAUUAGAAAGAAAAAAAUAGUAGGGGUAAAGAAAACAUUUUUAAAAUUUUGAGGGGUAUACAGAUAAUUAUUCCUUUUUUAUAUGAAUAAAUUUGUAAGGACAAAGCUGUG